UACGGGGGGGGCAAGCGUUGUUCGGAAUUACUGGGCGUAAAGGGCGCGUAGGCGGCCAACUAAGUCGGACGUGAAAUCCCCAGGCUCAACUUGGGAACUGCGUCCGAUACUGGAUGGCUUGAAUCCGGGAGAGGGAUGCGGAAUUCCAGGUGUAGCGGUGAAAUGCGUAGAUAUCUGGAGGAACACCGGUGGCGAAGGCGGCAUCCUGGACCGGUAUUGACGCUGAGGCGCGAAAGCUAGGGGAGCAAACGGG
rnacentral:rRNA from 1 species